UACGUAGGGUGCAAGCGUUAAUCGGAAUUACUGGGCGUAAAGCGCACGCAGGCGGCCCGGCGCGUGGGGUGUGAAAGCUGGCGGCUUAACUGCCAGACGCCAUCCCAUACGGCUGGGCUCGAGCCCUGCAGAGGUCCAUGGAAUUGCCGGUGUAGUGGUGAAAUGCGUAGAGAUCGGCAGGAACACCCAGGGGGAAACCAGUGGACUGGGCAGGAGCUGACGCUCAGGUGCGAAAGCGUGGGGAGCGAACCGG
rnacentral:rRNA from 1 species